rnacentral:rRNA from 1 species
UACGGGGGGAGCAAGCGUUGUUCGGAUUUACUGGGCGUAAAGCGCGUGUAGGCGGCCCGGUAAGUCCGCUGUGAAAGUCGGGGGCUCAACCCUCGGAUGCCGGUGGAUACUGUCGGGCUAGAGUGCGGAAGAGGCGAGUGGAAUUCCUGGUGUAGCGGUGAAAUGCGCAGAUAUCAGGAGGAACACCAAUUGCGAAGGCAGCUCGCUGGGACGUGACUGACGCUGAGACGCGAAAGCGUGGGGAGCAAACAGG